rnacentral:rRNA from 1 species
UACGUAGGUGGCAAGCGUUGUCCGGAUUUACUGGGCGUAAAGCGAGCGCAGGCGGAUUUGCAAGUCUGGUGUAAAAGAUAGAGGCCUAACAUUUAUAUGCAUUGGAAACUGCAAGUCUAGAGUGUAGUAGAGAGUAUUGGAACUCCAUGUGGAGCGGUGAAAUGCGUAGAUAUAUGGAAGAACACCAGAGGCGAAGGCGAAAACUUAGGCUAUUACUGACGCUUAGGCUCGAAAGUGUGGGGAGCAAAUAGG